UAGUAUCAGCGUGUCAGCCGCCGCGGUAAUACGUAGGGUGCGAGCGUUAAUCGGAAUUACUGGGCGUAAAGCGUGCGCAGGCGGCUUUGCAAGACAGAUGUGAAAUCCCCGGGCUCAACCUGGGAACUGCAUUUGUGACUGCAAGGCUAGAGUACGGCAGAGGGGGAUGGAAUUCCGCGUGUAGCAGUGAAAUGCGUAGAUAUGCGGAGGAACACCGAUGGCGAAGGCAAUCCCCUGGGCCUGUACUGACGCUCAUGCACGAAAGCGUGGGGAGCAAACAGGAUUAGAUACCCUGGUAGUCCACGCCCUAAACGAUGUCAACUGGUUGUUGGACGGCUUGCUGUUCAGUAACGAAGCUAACGCGUGAAGUUGACCGCCUGGGGAGUACGGCCGCAAGGUUGAAACUUAAAUGAAUUGACGGG
rnacentral:rRNA from 1 species